rnacentral:lncRNA from 1 species
UUUCUAAUCCAGAUCUCCACCGUUCAUAAUGAAGAGCUCGUCAGUAUGACUCACAUAUCCAAAAUUGAGCAGGAUCCAACGGUGGACGAAUGCAGGAAUGGCUAGCAACCAUGACUGACCUGCAGGUAGAUUUUUCUUGAAAUGUUGCGAGGGCUAUAUCUCUCACACCAAACUAGAACAUUCUGAUCCCAACGGUAAGAUAUUAGAGGGUAGUGAGAACCAUAAUAUAUCCAAACACCAGACAAAUCCAACGGUGUAAUACAGAGAUAUGACUGUUUGAAUGUCUGCUCUCAAGGUACUCUCUCUCUC